rnacentral:rRNA from 1 species
AGAGUUUGAUCCUGGCUCAGGAUGAACGCUAGCUACAGGCUUAACACAUGCAAGUCGAGGGGAAACGACAUCGAAAGCUUGCUUUUGAUGGGCGUCGACCGGCGCACGGGUGAGUAACGCGUAUCCAACCUGCCCACCACUUGGGGAUAACCUUGCGAAAGUAAGACUAAUACCCAAUGACGUCUCUAGAAGACAUCUGAAAGAGAUUAAAGAUUUAUCGGUGAUGGAUGGGGAUGCGUCUGAUUAGCUUGUUGGCGGGGUAACGGCCACCAAGGCGACGAUCAGUAGGGGUUCUGAGAGGAAGGUCCCCCANAUUGGAACUGAGACACGGUACCAAACUCCUAGAGAGGCA